AUGGAUCUUCUCCUUUUGGAGAAGGCUCUGCUGGGGCUGUUUGUGGCCAUGGUUGUUGCUAUUACCAUAUCCAAGCUCAGGGGUAAACGUUUUAAACUCCCACCAGGUCCCAUCCCCAUACCCAUAUUUGGAAAUUGGCUGCAGGUGGGUGAUGACUUGAACCACCGCAACCUGACGGAGAUGGCCAAGAAGUUCGGUGACAUACUGUUGCUCAGAAUGGGACAGCGGAACCUGGUGGUUGUUUCUUCACCAGAGCUGGCUAAGGAAGUGCUGCAUACCCAGGGAGUUGAAUUCGGAUCCAGGACUAGGAACGUGGUGUUCGAUAUAUUCACUGACAAGGGUCAGGACAUGGUGUUCACAGUUUAUGGCGAGCACUGGAGGAAAAUGAGACGAAUCAUGACUGUCCCCUUUUUCACAAACAAGGUGGUGCAGCAGAACAGGCUCGGUUGGGAGGAGGAGGCUUCCAGAGUUGUGGAGGAUCUCAAGAACGAUCCAAAAGCUUCCACCAGUGGGGUGGUUCUGAGAAGGCGCCUGCAGCUUCUUAUGUAUAACAAUAUGUAUAGGAUUAUGUUCGACAGGAGAUUCGACAGCAUGGAGGACCCUCUCUUCAACAAACUCAAGCUUAUAAACGCCGAGAGGAGUCGGUUAUCUCAGAGCUUUGAAUACAACUACGGCGAUUUCAUCCCCAUACUGAGGCCUUUCUUGAGAGGGUAUUUGAAUGUGUGUAAGGACGUCAAGGAGAGGAGGCUCAAGCUCUUCAAGGACAAUUUUGUCGAUGAGAGGAGGAGACUUACAAGCACGAUGAGCAACAAGGAGGAUAGUGUCAAAUGUGCCAUUGAUCAUAUCGUGGAGGCUCAAGAGAAUGGUGAAAUCACCGAAGCUAAUGUUCUCUUCAUUGUUGAGAACAUCAAUGUUGCCGCAAUCGAAACAACAUUGUGGUCGAUGGAGUGGGCAAUUGCUGAGCUCGUGAACCACGCCAACAUCCAGAAAAAGCUGAGGGAUGAGCUCGAUUCGGUGCUUGGACAUGGCGUUCAAAUUACAGAGCCCGACAUUCGCAAUCUGCCUUACUUGCAGGCUGUUAUCAAAGAGACCAUGCGGCUAAGAAUGGCCAUUCCUCUCCUAGUGCCUCACAUGAACCUCCUAGACGCCAAGUUGGCUGGUUAUGACAUCCCUGCAGAGAGCAAGAUUCUUGUGAACGCAUGGUGGCUGGCCAACAACCCUGACCACUGGAACAAACCCCAUGAAUUCCGACCCGAGAGGUUCUUAGAGGAGGAGGCCGACGUGGAGCCUAGCGGGAACGACUUCAGAUACCUUCCCUUCGGCGCCGGGAGGAGGAGUUGCCCGGGGAUCGUCCUUGCCUUGCCCAUUGUCGCCAUUACUUUGGGUCGUCUCAUUCAGAACUUUGAGCUGCUGCCUCCUCCUGGACAGUCCAAGAUUGAUACCACUGAAAAGCCUGGACAGUUCAGCUUGCAAAUAUUGAACCACUCCACUAUUGUGGCAAAGCCAAGGUCUUUUUGAGUUCUAAAUUUCUUCAUCUCCUGCAAGGCAUUGAGUUGAAGAUGUUAUGAUCAGAGCAAGCAGGUUCAGAUGAAACGAAGAUGUCUCUCUUUCUUUUAAUCAAGAAAUGCAUAAAUUGUGUGUGAUCUGAAGCAAUAUUAUGCAAAUUUGUAUGAAAUUUCAUUUCAAUCUACUC